CCACGGUCAGGUCAGCGACUGGGGUGAAGUCGUAACAAGGUAGCCGUAGGGGAACCUGCGGCUGGAUCACCUCCUUUCUAAGG
rnacentral:rRNA from 1 species